UUUCAAUUGUGUCUGACUUGUCUGCGAUAUCCAGCUCCAACUCCUCAAGCAACGGGCAAUGAGAUAUUAAACUUUCCAGCAACUCAGAAGAAAUAUUGACUUCACAUAAUUUCAGGCUAAUUAACUUAUCAAAUCCUUGAAAGGCUGAUAGAUGCUGUAUUGAGCAAAAACAAAGACUUAGAUGCCUCAGCUGCGAACAUGAGAAAAGUGAAGAAGGCAAUCUGUAUUCCUUUCUAAGUGAAAGGUUAAGUACAAGAUGUUGAAUGUUAUUCCUCGAGAGGAAAUAUAUGAAGCUGUCGAUCUCGGGACAACUUGCUAGAUGAACAACAAAGAGGGUAAACUUAGUAAUGGGUCCUUCAUGAAGGCUCAAAAGCUGGUACAUGAUCUUUGUAAAUUUAACUGUAGGGUUCAGAAAAUCCUUUUCUGUUUUCCAAAGAGAUUCAUCAAUCUUCAACUCUGUAAGUCUACACCAGUGAUACCUCCAUUUCUUUGAUAAGAUGCUUGUCCUCACAGCGUCUUCAGAAGGCAAAUGCAUCAGAAUGAUAUCGAUUACGUUAUCAGGAAGGUAACUAAGGGCAUCGGGAAGUACACUUCGACGAUGCUUUAUUGCCUUAGGAGGCAUCAUAUAACAAUGAUCACCAAGAAGCUGUAGAAAGUAAGCAAUAAUAUGAAGUAAGGUAUCUCCAUGUGGACAUAACAACUAUUCACAUUAGCUGGACAGACGGCUAUUCACAAUGCCAAAUCAACAUAGGAAAUAAAAAUUUGUUAAUCUUAACCAUAAAUACCCAUAUGGUAUGAUAACAGUGUCAACAUUUACCAAUAAAUAAAUCCAUGUAUAUCUCUUGAUAUCCAUUAAUGGCAUUCUUAACAUGAACACCUUUCAUCAAUACUUCAUAAUUAUAUUGGUGGAUUAACAACAACUACUGCGCCUCAAUCCCAAAUAAGCCAGGAUUGGGUAUAUGAAUCCUCACUGACCAUGUUUCUACCUUUAAACUCACCUCAUGCCAUCAUUAUGCCAAAAAAAAAAAAAAAAAGUAAAAAAUAAUGGUAGUGAUCAAAAGCACACUUGACUAUCACUUAUUCGCGAGUUUUACACCUCAACUAUUAGGUGUUCCCUUUUCCUACCUUAACUAUUACCAUUAAUGUAUUAAAACACACCUAGUUGUGUAGAUGGUGAUAGUUCAAGCAGGAAAUGGGAACAACUGAUAGUUGGCUUAAACAUCUUUGAGAUGUGUUUUAAGACAUAGAUAGUGGAAGUCCAUGUAGAAAAAGGGAACAACCAAUAGUUGGGGUGUGAAACUUGCGAAAAAGUUAUAGUUUAGGUGUGUGUUUUACCAUUAACUCUAAAAAGCAAUAUUACAAGUUCUCUGGCACAUAAAUCUAUGAUAAUGUACAAUGAUUCACCCUUGAUGCUCAUUUUUUUCUUGAUUUCGAGUUUAUGUGAGAUGACGAUGAGAAUGAGAAGAGGUGCACUGGGAACACGACAGAGAAAGAGAGUUACUUUAUACAGUACACGCCAGAAAACUGAAGACCCUCAAUUUUCACUCCCAAGUUCGACACGACAUAGAAACAGAUAUACACAGUGAGUGGAAAAGAAUUAGCCUCAAUUUUCUGAAGAAGAAAACAAGGGGAAGGCUAAAAGACUCCUAUAACAGUAAAGAAAAAGAGUGAAUAGGUUAAAAAUAUCUUAAACUAUCACCAUUUUGCGAGUACCAAACCAGAAUUAUUCGUCCCUCACAGAACCCUAUGAACUAUCAUGAUUUCAUAUUAAAAUACCCCGGGAGUAAUAUGACAUGCUACACGAACACCACACUCCAAAGAGUUCUAAGUCGCAGUAGACGUGGAAAAGAUAUUGAGUGAACAUGUUAAAUUAACCUUCCCUAUGCCAACUUGCACUAAACUCCACUAUGCCACCAUGUACCUGCUACCUCCCAUCAGCACACGUAUCUCACUACUACACCCCCCACCUGACUCUGCUGGAAUUUGAACCAUCCAAAAAACAAUAUUUUUACAAGAUUUUUCGGACAAACAUAAAUAGUUUCUUAUGCUUUGAAACCAAAAACUACAUAAAGGAAGUAACUUUUAUUGACUUAACAAACACAUACAAAUACCAAAAGGAAACCAACAACUAAACCAAGAGCGUAUCUAUAUGCUAAUUAUAGGACACAUAAAUCCAUGGUCUCUUCAUAAAACUAAAUGGUGCACUUGGUUGAAAAUGUUGAGUUAUUUACCUAGACAAGUUGGGAUCAGUCCAUGCUUAAUACAUUUUCUUCUUUUUUACUAGUGUACCCAUGUUCUAAAAAUCAUAAAUUCGCCUCCAAGUCUUAAACACAGAGUAUUGAAACAUAAGAAGAUACAUACACUUAUUUCAGAGAUUGUAAGUUCAUCAAAAGAGGGAAAUGAUAACCAAAUUAUAGUGGAAAAAGAUUUAAAGCUUACCAAGGAAUCAGCCCUUUUUCUCUUUGGACUUUUGUCAAACACCUUAUGCCCUAUUUGUAAAUUUCAAAUGUUUUAUCCUAAUUUAGGGCAUGGGGCUUGGGAGGGAGAGAGGGAGUUGGGGAAGUACUUUAUAUAUUCACAAAGAAAGUGAUUUUAUACUUUUUAACAUUAAAACACGAGUGUCGGGUUGGAGUCAUGGAUAUAAUAACGGUGGAAAGAAAACGGUAAAACGAAAAAGAAAACAUUUUAAUUUAAAACUUCUCAAAUAGUGUGUUAGGUGAAUAGAGAUCAAGUAAAAUGAAAUAGGCUGAAGUAGAAGUAAGUAGGGGUAUAUUUGGAUCUAUUUAAUUGUUUUGAAGGGUAUAUUUGUACUUUUUUAUUUCUAAAAGAGUGAAAAGGUCAAAAACACAACCAAAAUUAUUUUGAUAUUUUUAUUUUUCUAUCUGAAUUAUUACCAAUUAUUUACCAAAACGCACUUCAACAUCAUUGUUCUCUUUUCCUACCAGAAAUAUUCACAUGAGAGGCGACUAUACUCGGAUUUGUGUUGACAAAUUUCACAUUUCAGGUGAAAUGGCCAACGAAGACACUUCAUACCUAAAGCUUAAAUCCAAUACCUUUGAUUAUCAAUCCAUUAAACUUGUUAGUAAAUUGCAUUUAAACACUUAAACUAUAUUAUGUUUUAAUUGAGUACCUAAUAAACCCAUGAUUAUUCAUACUAUACUUUCAACUUAACUUUGGGGGAGGGGAUUGGGGGAUAUGCUUGUGUUCUCAAGUGCCCAUUACGUAGAUACACUAACCACUUAAAAGAUGUCACCUAAUUAUACACAUUAAUCUCAAUAAGCCAAAGAAACCAAAAAAAACAUCCUCUUCAUUACCUUCAAGUUGUGCCAUAUAUGCAAUUGAUCAAGUAGAGAAAUAAACAAGUGUGUCAUACUACUACAUCACGUUUGUUUCUCUUUUCAGACUUCUAACUUCUAAGCCAAAGAUCCGCCUAAAUCUAUGUAGACAACUUCUGCUUUAGGUGAUGACCGCGAAAAAUUUGAUAUAUCUGCGAAUAUUUGUAAUCUUGUGUCGAGCUGUUCAUGAUCAAGAUACUGUCGAUCGAUUAGCAUUCUCUCCAACACUGGGGACUCGGCUAACAAAAAUUUGAUAAGCAGCAACUCAGACGUUGUUCCUGUUAAGCAGCCUAGCUUAACUUCCUUGAGGUGAUUAAAUGUCACAUCCGAUAAAUGUUUGAGCUCAAGGGGUUCUGGAAUAGGUUCAUCCUCAUCAUCUUCAUCUUCAUAGUCAUAUCCAUAUUCAUGAACCUAAGAAAGAUAACAAGAAGUUAACUCAUAUAUUAUUGAGGAAAGAAAGAAAGAAAGAAAUUAGAAGAGCCGAAGUACUAAGAACCUGUAUUUCGAGAUAUUCUAAAUAUGGGAAACUUCUUAUCAAGCAAAGAGCAUAUGAGAGCUUAUAUGAUUCCACCAGCAUAAUGUCAGGCAGGGUAAAUCGUUUGACGCUGUUAAGAUUAAACGGAAGUCUUGUUGGUGCUUCAUAUCCUGCUCCAGCAGAGAACUAGGAAACAAUUACCGAAAAUCAAGAUUAAGUCAGCCCAAAUGAAAUUUCAUCCACUAAAGUUAUAAUAAUGAAGUCAUCAAGCAAUAUUUACCCCGGAAUCAAGGGAGAAAAAGAGGAGGUGCUCGAGAGCAGGACAACACUCGAAAAGCUUUGCAAAAUCAAGAUCCUCUGCUUUAAUAUAGUCACCAUAGAGCAAUACUUUUACCAGACGAGGGACAUUCUUUAGGCAGACAGAACUUAUAUUGCCUGAGAGAUCGAACGACCUCAACAUGGGGGCAUUAAUUUCAAUUGUGUCUGACUUGUUUGCGAUAUCCAGCUCCAACUCCUCAAGCAACGGGCAAUGAGAUAUUAAACUUUCCAGUAACUCAGAAGAAAUAUUGACUUCACAUAAAUUCAAGCUAAUUAACUUAUCAAAUCCUUGAAAGGCUGAUGGAUGUUGUAUUGAGCAAUAACAAAGACUUAGAUGCCUCAGCUGCGAACAUGCGAAAAGUAAGGAAGGCAAUUUGUAUUCCUUUCUAAGUGGAAGGUGAAGAGCAAGAUGUUGAAUG
rnacentral:lncRNA from 1 species